AGAGUUUGAUCCUGGCUCAGGACGAACGCUGGCGGCGCGCCUAACACAUGCAAGUCGAACGAGCGAGAGAGAGCUUGCUUUCUCGAGCGAGUGGCGAACGGGUGAGUAACGCGUGAGGAACCUGCCUCAAAGAGGGGGACAACAGUUGGAAACGACUGCUAAUACCGCAUAAGCCCACGGGUCGACAUCGACCAGAGGGGAAAGGAGCAAUCCGCUUUGAGAUGGCCUCGCGUCCGAUUAGCUAGUUGGUGAGGUAAUGGCCCACCAAGGCAACGAUCGGUAGCCGGACUGAGAGGUUGAACGGCCACAUUGGGACUGAGACACGGCCCAGACUCCUACGGGAGGCAGCAGUGGGGAAUAUUGCACAAUGGGGGAAACCCUGAUGCAGCGACGCCGCGUGGAGGAAGAAGGUCUUCGGAUUGUAAACUCCUGUUGUUGGGGAAGAUAAUGACGGUACCCAACAAGGAAGUGACGGCUAACUACGUGCCAGCAGCCGCGGUAAAACGUAGGUCACAAGCGUUGUCCGGAAUUACUGGGUGUAAAGGGAGCGCAGGCGGGAAGACAAGUUGGAAGUGAAAUCUAUGGGCUCAACCCAUAAACUGCUUUCAAAACUGUUUUUCUUGAGUAGUGCAGAGGUAGGCGGAAUUCCCGGUGUAGCGGUGGAAUGCGUAGAUAUCGGGAGGAACACCAGUGGCGAAGGCGGCCUACUGGGCACCAACUGACGCUGAGGCUCGAAAGUGUGGGUAGCAAACAGGAUUAGAUACCCUGGUAGUCCACACCGUAAACGAUGAUUACUAGGUGUUGGAGGAUUGACCCCUUCAGUGCCGCAGUUAACACAAUAAAGUAAUCCACCUGGGGAGUACGCCCGCAAGGUUGAAACUCAAAGGAAUUGACGGGGGCCCGCACAAGCAGUGGAGUAUGUGGUUUAAUUCGACGCAACGCGAAGAACCUUACCAAGUCUUGACAUCCCUUGACAGACAUAGAAAUAUGUAAUCUCUUCGGAGCAAGGAGACAGGUGGUGCAUGGUUGUCGUCAGCUCGUGUCGUGAGAUGUUGGGUUAAGUCCCGCAACGAGCGCAACCCUUAUGGUCAGUUACUACGCAAGAGGACUCUGGCCAGACUGCCGUUGACAAAACGGAGGAAGGUGGGGAUGACGUCAAAUCAUCAUGCCCUUUAUGACUUGGGCUACACACGUACUACAAUGGCGUUAAACAAAGAGAAGCAAGACCGCGAGGUGGAGCAAAACUCAGAAACAACGUCCCAGUUCGGACUGCAGGCUGCAACUCGCCUGCACGAAGUCGGAAUUGCUAGUAAUCGUGGAUCAGCAUGCCACGGUGAAUACGAUCCCGGGCCUUGUACACACCGCCCGUCA
rnacentral:rRNA from 1 species